UAAUGUACGAAAGCUAGGGUAGCAAACAGGAUUAGAUACCCUGGUAGUCCUAGCUGUAAACGAUGUUCACUAGAUGUGGGAGGUAUCGACCCCUUCCGCAUCGACGCUAACGCAUUAAGUGAACCGCCUGGGGAGUACGACCGCAAGGUUGAAACUCAAAGGAAUUGACGGGGGCCCGCACAAGCGGUGGAAUAUGUGGUUUAAUUCGACGCAACGCGAAAAACCUUACCUGGGCUUGAACUGCUAAUGGUAAAAACCGGAAACGGCAAUGACUCGCAAGGGAGUUAGCAGAGGUGCUGCAUGGCUGUCGUCAGCUCGUGUCGUGAGAUGUUGGGUUAAGUCCCGCAACGAGCGCAACCCUUAUCCCAUGUUACCUGUAGCAAUGCAGGAUCUCUGAGGAGACUGCCAUUGAUAAAAUGGAGGAAGGUGGGGAUGACGUCAAGUCAUCAUGGCCUUUAUGUCCAGGGCUACACACGUAUUACAAUGGUCGGUACAGAGGGCAGCGAUAUCGCAAGGUGGAGCAAAUCCCUAAAAGCCGACCUCAGUUCAGAUUGUGGGCUGCAAUUCGCCCACAUGAAGUAGGAAUCGCUAGUAAUCGCAGAUCAGCAGGCUGCGGUGAAUACGUUCCCGGGCCUUGUACACACCGCCCGUCACACCACGAAAGUCAGUUGUAACAGAAGUCGUUGAGCUAACCGCAAGGAGGCAGGCGCCUAAGUUAUGGUUGGUGAUUGGGGUGAAGUCGUAACAAGGUAACCGUA
rnacentral:rRNA from 1 species